CUCGUAGGCGGCCAACUAAGUCAGACGUGAAAUCCCACGGCUUAACCGGGGAACUGCAUCUGAUACUGGAUGGCUUGAGAUCGGGAGAGGGAUGCGGAAUUCCAGGUGUAGCGGUGAAAUGCGUAGAUAUCUGGAGGAACACCGGUGGCGAAGGCGGCAUCCUGGACCGACACUGACGCUGAUGAGCGAAAGCCAGGGGAGCAAC
rnacentral:rRNA from 1 species